UUUUCUUUUUCUUGGUUCCCUUACGAUAUUUGGUUAAGUGUUCUGGAAACUAUCUCUUAUGAGUGAGAUCUAUUGUGAUAUACAAAUGCGUACCUAUAACAUUCAAGUAUUCUGUAUGCUAUGUUAGCCCAGCCUAACAUUUUAUCCAAGAUUCUGGUUGAAAAUGGCAAAGCAAACAUCUGCAAGACAUGCUGAACAUGAUGUUCAUACUAUUAGGAAUAGAACUUUAAUAUGCUACAAAGAGGGACUGAGGUAACCGGGCUAGUCUACCAUUAUGCUCAGCAAAGGAUUUGUUUUACUCUUAUAAUUUAAACAUUAAGCCGAUUAAUUUUCUAAUGGUUUUAUGAUUAAGAAACACAAAACAUUAUACUAAAUACCGUGGCCAUAAAAAAUUGUCAUAUUCCCAUAUAAAAAUUAUAGAUUCAUUUAUCUCUAGGCUUUGCAAAUAUUCUUUUUUCCACAAAGAAAAAAACAGCAAUUUUUAUUAUGAAGCACUUAAAAGGUAAUAAGGAAGCUAUCACAGUAAAAAAAUUAUUGAUAUAUAGGUUGACUCUUGUCAUUUAAGAUUCCUGUAGCUAAACAUACCAUAUGCCUUAGAACAGGCUUUAUGCUAGAAUAAAUACUUAUAGAUGCAGCCAUGCACAUUCAGUCCAAUUUUCUGAAUACAUUUCCCUAAAAAGGUGAUACAAAUCAUUGCAAGUCUAUAACUGACAUACUACACUUUAUAUAAUCUAAGGCCAAAUAUAAAAUUUUAUAAGUAAUCUUUGUAGGAGAGGUAGAAUGUUGAGCCUACAUCAGUGGGGAAAACAUAAUAUUUAUAAUUGAAUCAAAUAGCUAAGAAACACAAUUAGGUAUCUGCCACAUCAGUAUUCACAUUUGUGCAUUAAGAUCAUGCAAAUGGAAUUAAUUAUUGCUCAAGUCAUUUAGUUACAAGCGGUAGCUAAACUCAACAGUUUUCCAAUUUCAAGCAUAUAUAAUAUGUAAUAGAAAUAAUACAGUUCAUAAUGAACAAUGGAAAGAGAAGAAAAGUGGGAGAGAAGGAAAAAAAGGGAAGACCAGAAGAAAAAGGGGAGAGAAGAAGGAAGGAAAACUUGCCAAGAAAACACUUUUCAUUUCAGAGAAAAUCAUCUUUCCAUUAUACAAAAAAAAAAAAAAA
rnacentral:lncRNA from 10 species